GUUGAACGCUGGCGGUGCGCCUAAUACAUGCAAGUCGAACGAGACCUUUGUUGAAUUUAUUCAAUAAAGUGACAGUGGCGGACGAGCGAGUAACACGUAAGCAUCUGCCCCGUACUCAGGGAUAACCUGCCGAAAGGUGGGCUAAUACCGGAUGGUCCCGAAAGGGUAAAGAUUUAUCGGUACGGGAGGAGCUUGCGGCCUAUCAGCUUGUUGGUAAGGUAAAGGCUUACCAAGGCUAUGACGGGUAGCUGGUGUGAGAGCAUGACCAGCCGCGAUGGGACUGAGACACGGCCCAUACUCCUACGGGAGGCAGCAGUAAGGAAUCUUCCGCAAUGGGCGAAAGCCUGACGGAGCGACACCGCGUGAAGGAUGAAGCAUCUAGGUGUGUAAACUUCUUUUCUGAGGGAAGAAAAUCUGACGGUACCUCAGGAAUAAGCCCCGGCUAAUUACG
rnacentral:rRNA from 1 species